rnacentral:rRNA from 1 species
AAUCAACGCUGGCGGCGUGCCUAACACAUGCAAGUUGAGCGCUAGAGGGGGCAACCCCAAUAGAGCAGCGAACGGGUGAGUAACGCGUGGGUGAUCUUCCUUCGAGUGGGGAACAACAUCGGGAAACUGGUGCUAAUUCCGCAUAAUACCCUGGGGCCAAGAGCCCCAGGAUCAAAGCCGGGGACCGCAAGGCCUGGCGCUUGAAGAUGAGCCCGCGUUCGAUUAGCUAGUUGGCGGGGUAAUGGCCCACCAAGGCUUCGAUCGAUAGCCGGCCUGAGAGGGCGGACGGCCACACUGGAACUGAGACACGGUCCAGACUCCUACGGGAGGCAGCAGUGGGGAAUUUUUCGCAAUGGGCGCAAGCCUGACGAAGCAACGCCGCGUGGAGGAUGAAGGUCUUCGGAUUGUAAACUCCUGUCACCGGGACGAAUGCACUCGACCUAAUACGUCGGAAUGUUGACGGUACCGGUGGAGGAAGCCACGGCUAACUCUGUGCCAGCAGCC